AUACGUAGGGUGCGAGCGUUGUCCGGAAUUAUUGGGCGUAAAGGGCUCGUAGGCGGUUAGUCGCGUCGGGAGUGAAAACACCGGGCUUAACUCGGUGCUUGCUUUCGAUACGGGCAGACUGGAGGCAUGCAGGGGAGAACGGAAUUCCUGGUGUAGCGGUGAAAUGCGCAGAUAUCAGGAGGAACACCGGUGGCGAAGGCGGUUCUCUGGGCAUGUCCUGACGCUGAGGAGCGAAAGUGUGGGGAGCGAACA
rnacentral:rRNA from 1 species